rnacentral:rRNA from 1 species
GAUGAACGCUGGCGGCGUGCCUAAUACAUGCAAGUCGAGCGAAGCGGGGACGGGUGAGUAACACGUGGAUAACCUCCUAUAAGACUGGGUUACAUUCGGGAAAGCUGAGCUAACCCGGAUACUUAUCGAUGGAUCCGCGCUGCAUUAGCUAGUUGGUACGGUAACGGCUUACCAAGGCAACGAUGCAUAGCCGACCUGAGAGGGUGAUCGGCCACACUGGAACUGAGACACGGUCCAGACUCCUACGGGAGGCAGCAGUAGGGAAUCUUGCGCAAUGGGCGAAAGCCUGACGGAGCAACGCCGCGUGAGUGAGGAAGGUCUUCGGAUCGUAAAACUCUGUUAGUAGGGAAGCGGUACCUAAUCAGAAAGCCACGGCUAACUCCGUGCCAGCAGCCGCGGUAAUUC